UACAGAUCACAUAGAAUGUGCAUCACGCCGGUCAAAUUCGUUUUUUAUUCAGUUUCACCUUUGAGUGUCAAAUCAGGUCACAUGCAAUUAAACCCAAAUCGAUUCUGUUCAAAUCAAGGGCCAAUUUCUGCAUGACAGUAUAGAGGUUAACAAACCUCUGGUUAAAUUGGCCGAUUUUCAAACCACUAGAAGUGGGCUGAGAUUACGUGAAGGAGGAAUAUCUUAGUUGCGGGGACAAACUUAGUGGUAACAUAUUUACCUUUUUCGAUAUUCUAUAACGUAGCUGUAGUAAAAUCUAAUCGUCAUGUUUAGGCUAGUGUCUAUUAUACCGACAAUUCUAAAAUAUUUGAUUCGCAUUAAAUUCGUCAUUAAAUCCAGAUCCAAAUUAGAGACACCUUUGUUGUCUCACAUGACCCAGCUAGACUCUAAUACACCCAGAUAAUCUAUUACAUCGGUUGUUUUAAGAAGGCCUUCUCCGAAGAAGCUUUCUUUAGAUGAUCCUGUCCGUCCGUCUGUCUGGCCGGUUGAUGAGCCCUCGAAGGAAGUAGUCUUUGGGCCAAACUUGGUACAUAAAACUGGGUCAUGGUUGAAAAUGGGCAAUACUUCUGCAGUCAUUUCUGUACCUCCUCCACAAAAGGUGACAAUUGUUAAUGAAAAUAAAUCCCUUAAACUGGGAUAUAAAUAUUUGAUUUUUUUUUUUUUUUUCGAAAAAAAUAUAAAAAAAUCCAAACGGGUCGAGUACACUUUAUUUUAUUUUGAACCUGUCUGCAUUCUCUGAAAAAAAAAAACUGCCGUAGUUUUAUGAUAUUAAAUAUCAGGGUUUUGUUGGAUACAGGCAGAACCAUUAGCUCUGAUCCAUAUGUGAGUGAGACUUUGCAAAAACCUAAUACUCCUGGGGUUAUUUUUCUGAACAAUAAUCUAUGGCAGCGUAGAUAACCGUGCUAUUACAAAGUGCCCUUCCAUGCAAUCCCACGCUGAAGUUUUCUAAAACAUUUUCUAUAGUCAAUUUAUUGACCCAACAUUCAUUUAAUUUCAGAAGGUUACUUAGCAGGAAACCUUUGAUGUAGGACGAAAUCGUGUCGGGUAUUAGGAUAACAUUUCGCACUUUUUUGUUUAAGUCUAAAAAAUAAACAUUAAAAACAAAAAGAAAAAUAAAAAAACAAAAACGAAGCAACAACAAUAACAGCAAUAUCAUGCACACAUUCACACACAAUUUAUGCUAAAAAUAUAGCAACAUUUUUAAUGAAAAACUAUAUUUAAAAAAACACGAGCGGCAAUAUUUUUACUCCGCGCCAUCCGAGGGGGAGGAGUGGGGGAGAGUGUAAUAUUUCGACAAACGACAGAGCUUAUGAUCGCUAUAAUAUUGGCUGUGCCGGUGCUGGGCGGUGGUGAUGAUGAUGAUGACGCUGCUGACGUGAUGUUGCUGUCCGCAGUUGUAUUCGAUUUAAUAAUGGUGGCCGUGUGCAAUAUUGUUUAUAUUUCUAUCGUCCAUUAUUUAUUGCCAAAAUUUGUAUCAUUGGCUAAUAACGAGCGGUCGGUCGGUCGGUCAGUUGCUGUCUUUUAAUCAAGAACAACAAGCAACAAAAACACAGCAACAACAACAGGAGGGUGGGUGGACUCUGUUUGGAUUGUUGCGCUAGCUAAAUAGAUAUUGCCUUCGCCUGUUGUCUGGGACAAAAACACGAGGAACGGCCAGACAUUUGUUUAUACAUAGAACUUGCCGCGUGCUCCUAACCCGUUACAUCCAUUCAUUGGUUCUCCAAAUCAACGUCAAAGUCGGAAAAGUUUAUUGGGUGGUGCGCACAUGACUUUACUCGGCUAAUAUUGUAGAGUGUGCACCACCACCAUCCAUAUUUGGAAUAAUGAGGUCUAGCGAAUAAAGCCUACACUUUCGGCAGAAAUAUUAUCGGCCGACAGCAAAAUUCAAAUAGUCGCACAUAGUAUUCUCACAAAAUCAUUGUCAAGGACAGCGUGUAUGUAAGUCAAUCAAGAUUUCUCGAUCAAAUCAAAAUUUGAAAUUGGUCUGUGGCAAGAGAGAUGGUUGCUUUGGAAAUAUAGGAAUCGAGCUAAAUGUCGUGUAACUCGUAACUAUACCUCCAAUGAUAUUAAAUCAAGUUUUAUGAAAAUAUUAUGUUGAGCAACGCUAGAAGCAAAAAGGGGGAUCCAUCGCUUAAAUGUAUAAGACUUGGCCAAUUUCGAACAAGACUCAGUACCGGUAUCAUAAUGUGUACAAGACCUUCAUUCGAGAGUUGCCGUGUAUCCGGAAAUAUAAUAAUAGAAAUAAAAAAAUUAUAUUUGUCAUAAC